CCACUCUCAGGACCGGAAGUUGAUACGAAGCUUUCAAAAAUAAAAGCGAGUAUACCGGAAGCACGUAUUUAUCGUUUCCCCUGUGAAGUGUGGCGAUAACAAGAUGCAUAUUUCGAUCCUAAAAGCCGACACCACGCCCAAAAUUGAACGCUGCAAGACAUGCUGCACACAAUUCCAUUGUCCACUGUGCCUAAAGUUCAAACCUGCCAAAUUGUCCAAGCUGCAGAGCCACUUAGAGGCACAUAAAAAAGGUGGCAUUUUAUUUAAAGAUAAAAUUAUCUGCAGAUGUGGACUGAACUGCAGAGAUCAGGGACACUAUCAUUGCCCUGUGUGCUGUAAAACUGUUUUGAGAAGUUUGCCCAUUGGACAGACAUGUCAAAAGCCCUUCUGGCAGGUGAGGUGCCACCAGUUUUUAGACUGAAGCGAAAAUUGGAUGACAUGACUGAGGCUGAAGAGAGGAAGAAAAGGUGUCACCAAACGGCUGCUCCAGUUGUGCAGGAGGUGGAGACAACUGAAGAAGAGACCAAUACGGUGGGCCGAAUUGUGGAUCACUGCAAAAAAGCAGCGGAAUGGGUGCAGGGUAACCCACAACUGUUUGCAGCC